UCUGAGUUCUUCAAUCAAAGCAAAUGGAGGGAGGAAAAUGGACGGUAGAUCUAGUCAGGCUGUCUCCCACAACCUUAGAACGUUUCCUCCCAGGACCCUCAGAAAGAUCUGCAGGUGGUGAACAGGACAGUCAUUGUUCUCAGGUCUCAUCAGAAAGACCCAAGCAUGAAGUCAAAGGAAAGACCUUUCAUGGCCAAGAGGAAACAGGAUCACAGAUGAAAAGCCUAGGAGGAAAAUGGACGGUAGACCUAGUCAGGCUGUCUCCCAGAACCUUAGAACGUUUCCUCCCAGGACCCUCAGAAAGAUCUGGUGGUGAACAGGACAGUCAUUGUUCUCAGGUCUCAUCAGAAAGAAUCAAGCAUGAAGUCAAAGGAAAGACCUUUCAUGGCCAAGAGGAAACAGGAUCACAGAUGAAAAGCCUAGGAGGAAAAUGGACGGUAGAUCUAGUCAGGCUGUCUCCCAGAACCUUAGAACGUUUCCUCCCAGGACCCUCAGAAA